rnacentral:rRNA from 1 species
CCUACGGGUGGCAGCAGUGGGGAAUAUUGCACAAUGGGGGAAACCCUGAUGCAGCGACGCCGCGUGAGUGAAGAAGUACUUCGGUAUGUAAAGCUCUAUCAGCAGGGAAGAAAAUGACGGUACCUGAGGAAUCCGCCACGGCUCACGACGUGCCAGCAUCCGCGGUCAUACGUAGGGGGCAAGCGUUAUCCGGAUUUACUGGGUGUAAAGGGGGUGUAGGCGGGAAAGCAAGGCAGAUGUGAAACCCAUGGGCUCAACCGGUGGCCUGCAUUUGAAACUGUUGGGCUUGAGUACUGGAGAGGCAGGCGGAAUUCGUGGUGUAGCGGUGAAAUGCGUAGAUAUUAGGAGGAACACCAGUGGCGAAGGCGGUCUGCUGGACAGCAACUGACGCUGAGGCGCGAAAGCGUGGGGAGCAAACAGGAUUAGAUACCCUUGUAGUC